UACGUAGGGACCGAGCGUUGUCCGGAAUCAUUGGGCGUAAAGAGCGUGUAGGCGGCCACUUAAGUCCUGCGUGAAAUCUUGCGGCUCAACCGCAAGCGGUCGUGGGAAACUGGGUGGCUAGAGUGCGGGAGAGGAGAGUGGAAUUCCUGGUGUAGCGGUGAAAUGCGUAGAUAUCGGAAGGAACAUCAGUGGCGAAAGCGGCUUCCUGGUCCAGCACCGACGUUCAGGCACGAAAGCGUGGGGAGCAAACAGGG
rnacentral:rRNA from 1 species